ACGUAGGGGGCGAGCGUUAUCCGGAUUUACUGGGUGUAAAGGGCGAGUAGGCGGGAUGGAAAGUCAGAUGUGAAAUACCGAGGCUUAACUUCGGGGCUGCAUUUGAAACUUCCAUUCUUGAGUGAUGGAGAGGCAGGCGGAAUUCCCAGUGUAGCGGUGAAAUGCGUAGAUAUUGGGAAGAACACCAGUGGCGAAGGCGGCCUGCUGGACAUUAACUGACGCUGAGGAGCGAAAGCGUGGGGAGCAAACAG
rnacentral:rRNA from 1 species